AUUUAUCUUCCAGACUCCAAGUUAGUACUCUACCUACUGCACCACCCAGCUGUUCACUCUCUACUAAUAAUGAUCAAUUCAAUGAGUGGGAAUAAAAGCAAGGUGGGGAUGCUUCUCCUUUCACCAAGGCAGAAGAGCAGUAAAGGCUGUGUAAUUUCAAGUACUCAGUUAUAUGACUUUGGGCAGUGUUUUUGUUUAGUAAUUUUUAGUCAUAUCCUACUCUUCUUGAUGUGUUCUGGGGGUUUUCUUGGCCAAGAUUCUGAAGUGAUUUACAAUUUUCUUCUCCAACUUAUUUUCAGGAUUUUGAUAUUCUCUGUAGUUUUUAUGUUUCCCAAUCAUUCUGGGAAACCUCUUCCUAUUCCAGUGUAGAGGUACACAUGAUGUUUUGGUGGGCAUCUAUGAGAAGCAGUGGGUAAGUCUGAGAUUUUCCAUUCUAUCUUUUAUCCUUUGGGCAUACAGAUGUCCUUGACAAUGGUUCAUUUUCUAUUGCUGAAAAGUCUAUUCUCCAUCUUCAGAAUAUUUGGGAACACUAAACAAGUCUUCCAUGGACUCAGUCUUCAAUAUUCAUUCAACUAAUCCGUUGUGUGAAAAAAGAAAGAAUAUAUACACAUGGCUUCAGACACUUACUAACUGUGUGAUGCUGGCCAAGUACCUGAACCCUGUUUACCUCAGUUUCCUCAUCUGUAGAAUGAGCAGGAGAAAUAAAUGGAAAACCACUCCAGUAUCUUUGGCA
rnacentral:lncRNA from 1 species